GGAAGCGUGCCCGAAAGAUAGGGAUCUCCUUGAUAGGGAGGACAAUAGGGGUUCAAACCCCCUCUCUUCCU
rnacentral:tRNA from 1 species